GGAAGCUGAGAGCGGGCUGACUGUGGUCCAGUCCUACUUCGAUUCAGUGUGAACUGACACUCUGAUCUGAAGACGCUCAGGCCUUUGUCAUUUCAGCACCCCAGAUGCUAUUUUCCAUUCGAAGAAUGCCGCCACCAGGUGGCGGUAUUUUAACAUGGCCAUGCAAUCCGGAGCCAGAGGCUUGCUCUGUCACCCAGGCUAGAGUGCAGUGUCGUAAUCUAGCUCACUGCAGCCUCCAAUUCCCAAGCUCAAGCGAUCCUCCUGCCUCAGCCUCUGAGUCACUGGGAUUACAGGCGUGAGCUACCGCACCCGGUCUUUUUGCAUUACUAACCUGUGAUAUGGGUUUAUGGGACUUCAUUAUUUCAAAGGGAGGCAGCUUGGCCCCGGAGAGCAUGCAUUCCUGGCUUCUGCGAUGGAUAGACUUGUGUUCUCCAUCUCAGGAGCUCCCCCUCAAGGUGGGGGUAAGAGAUGAGGGCUUCCACUCUGGCUUUGUUCGAGAUGUCUUGAUGCCAAGAGGAGCAAACUAGUUAAGCGGUUGGUGUACACAGGUGUGUUGCUAAGAAUAAGGUCUGGGCUAGAAAUAUGGAUUCUUAGUUGUGGUUGAAAGUACGGAGUUUGGCCGGGCGCGGUGGCUCAUGCCUAUAAUCCCAGCACUUUGGGACACUGAGGCGGGAGGAUCUCUCCAGCCCAAGAGUUUGAGACCAGCCUGGGCAACAUAGUGAAGACCUCUUCUUUACAACAAAUACAAAACAUUAGCUUGGCGUGGUAGCAUGUGCUUGUAGUCCCAGCUACUCAGGAGGCUGAGAUGGGAGGAUCGUUGAGGCCCGGGAAGUUAAGGCUGUAGUGAGCCGUGAUCGUGCCACUACACUACACUACACUACACUACACUACCUGGGCAACAGAGAGAGACCUUGUGUCAAAAAAAAAGAAGAAGAAAGAAAGAGAGAGAGAGAAAGGAAAGAAAGAAAACUACAGCAUUGGACACUCAGAGGCAGUGUGUCAUAUAAGCAUGUCAAAGACCCAAAGAUAAAGUGGAGAUAGAAGACUCCUUUAAGCCAGGAUCCGUGGCUCAG
rnacentral:lncRNA from 1 species